rnacentral:rRNA from 1 species
GACAGAGGGUGCAAACGUUGUUCGGAAUUACUGGGCGUAAAGCGCGUGUAGGCGGCUACGCAAGUCGGAUGUGAAAUCCCUCGGCUCAACCAAGGAAGUGCUUUCGAAACUGCUGAGCUUGAGUACUAAAGAGGAUCGCGGAAUUCCCGGUGUAGAGGUGAAAUUCGUAGAUAUCGGGAGGAACACCAGUGGCGAAGGCGGCGAUCUGGGUAGAUACUGACGCUGAGGUGCGAAAGCGUGGGGAGCAAACAGG